AUACGUAGGGGGCAAGCGUUAUCCGGAAUUACUGGGUGUAAAGGGAGAGUAGGCGGCAUGAUAAGUUAGAUGUGAAAGCCUUGGGCUUAACCCGAGGAUUGCAUUUAAAACUAUCAAGCUAGAAUACAGGAGAGGUAAGUGGAAUUCCUAGUGUAGCGGUGAAAUGCGUAGAUAUUAGGAAGAACACCAGUGGCGAAGGCGGCUUACUGGUCCAUAACUGACGCUGAGGUGCGAAAGCGUGGGGAGC
rnacentral:rRNA from 1 species